rnacentral:rRNA from 1 species
UACGUAGGGGGGCAAGCGUUUGUCCGGAUUUAUUGGGCGUAAAGAGCUCGUAGGCGGUUUGUCGCGUCUGCUGUGAAAACCCGGGGCUCAACCCCGGGCCUGCAGUCGAUACGGGCAGACUAGAGUGCGGUAGGGGAGACUGGAAUUCCUGGUGUAGCGGUGAAAUGCGCAGAUAUCAGGAGGAACACCGGUGGCGAAGGCGGGUCUCUGGGCCGUAACUGACGCUGAGGAGCGAAAGCGUGGGGAGCAACAGG